rnacentral:rRNA from 1 species
GCCAGCAGCCAUAUCACUCUGCAACUCACAACUGGCAGGCCACUGAAGCUCAGCAGGUGUGAGCCUGGUCAGUACAGUACCUGGAUGGGAGACCUCCUGGGAAAACUAAGGUUGCUGCUGGAA